UACAGAGGGUGCAAGCGUUAAUCGGAUUUACUGGCGUAAAGGGCGCGUAGGUGGUUGCUUAAGUGAGAUGUGAAAUCCCCGGGCUUAACCUGGGAACUGCAUCUUAUACUGGGUAACUGGAGUGCAAUAGAGGGUAGUGGAAUUUCCGGUGUAGCGGUGAAAUGCGUAGAUAUACGGAAGGAACACCAGUGGCGAAGGCGGCUACCUGGGAUUGACACUGACACUGAGGCGCGAAAGCGUGGGGAGCAAACAGG
rnacentral:rRNA from 1 species